rnacentral:rRNA from 1 species
GAUGAACGCUGGCGGCGUGCCUAAUACAUGCAAGUCGAGCGCACAGACGAGGAGUUUGCUCCUCUGACCUUAGCGGCGGACGGGUGAGUCACACGUGGAUAACCUACCCAUAAGACUGAGAUAACUUCGGGAACCCGGUGCUAAUACCGGAUAAUAUCUUGAACCGCCUGGUUCAUUGGUCAAAGACGGUUUUGCUGUCACUUAUAGAUGGAUCCGAGCCGCAUUAGCUGGUUGGUAAGGUAACUGCUUACCAAGGCGACGACGCGUAGUCGACCUAAGAGAAUGAUCGGUCGCACGUGAGUGGGGACGCGGACCAGAAUCCGACGGGAGGCAGCGGUCGGGAACCUUCGGCAAUGGGCGGAAGGCUAUCGGAGGAAAGGCGCGUAAGUGAUGACGGUCUUCGGAUCGUGAAGCUCUGCGAUUAGGGGAGUACAAAUGGCUAAGGAUCGGUACACUACUUGACAGUACCUGGUCAGAAAGCCACGGCUAACUCCGUG